rnacentral:rRNA from 1 species
AGAAUCAACGCUGGCGGCGUGCCUCAGACAUGCAAGUCGAACGCGAAAGUCCCCUUCGGGGGACAAGUAGAGUGGCGCACGGGUGAGUAACACGUAGGUAAUCUACCUUCGGAUGGGGAAUAACAACCGGAAACGGUUGCUAAUACCGCAUAAUGCAGCGGCACCUAAUGGUGACAGUUGUUAAAGCGGGGGAUCGAAAGACCUCGCGUCUGAAGAGGAGCCUGCGGCGGAUUAGCUAGUUGGCGGGUAACGCCACCAAGGCGACGAUCA